rnacentral:tRNA from 1 species
GAAACUUAAGUUACUUUUAAACCUAAGGCCUUCAAAGCCCUUAACAGGGGACCCUUCCUUCCUAGUUUUUG